GGCCUUUCUCAGGAAGAUGGCCUUUUGACCCAGAAUCCCGGGGAUCAGGAGGAGGACUCGUCUCCAAAACCAGAAGUGGGUCUCUCUGGAGAUGCUGAGCCGGCCUGUGAAGGCUAUGAAGGGAAGGGCUGUACCAAGGAGUAUGAUCCAGUCUGUGGAAGUAAUGGAAAGACGUAUGGGACAACAUGUCUUCUCUGCCAAGAGAACCAACGAGAGAAGAAAAAUGUGAGAGUGGCUGGCAAAGGGCCGUGUCGUCAAUGAGUCACAAAAAAAAAGACGAGGAAAAAUGUUCCUUAGAGUCACAGAUUGACCUCUGAUAAACCGUCUCAAUAAAACUAUUCUCUGCAGCUUAUUGUUUAACAAUCCACAGACUUUGUU